CAGAUAAAGAAAUUGAGGAGCUAUUGAGUACCCUGCCAGUUAAUGAUGAUGGAAAGGUCGACCUCAAAGAAGUUAUCGAUAAUGCAAAAACUAUUCAAGAAAAUGUUGAUGUUCAAAACCUGGAAGACUUUCUGAAGAACAUGGGGGUCAAACUCACAAAAGAGGAACAGA